UCAGAUCACAUUGGACCGUACCGUAAACCGACACUGGUGGGUGAGCAGAUAAUCUGCCAAGGCGCUUGAGAGAACUCGGGUUAAGGAACUCUGCAAAUUGAUACCGUAACUUCGGAAGAAGGUAUGCCUUCGACGGUGUAGGGAUUUACUCCCGAAGCUGUUGAAGGUCGCAGGUAAUCGGUGGCUGCGACUGUUUAUCAAAAACACAGGACUCUGCGAACACGCAAGUGGAAGUAUAGGGUCUGACGCCUGCCCGGUGCCGGAAGGUUAAUUGAUGGGGUUAGCCGCAAGGCGAAGCUCUUGAUCGAAGCCCCGGUAAACGGCGGCCGUAACGAUAACGGUCCUAAGGUAGCGAAAUUCCUUGUCGGGUAAGUUCCGACCUGCACGAAUGGCGUAACGCUGGCCACACUGUCUCGACCCGAGACUCAGUGAAGUUGAAAUCGCUGUGAAGAUGCGGCGUUCCCGCGGCAAGACGGAAAGACCCCGUGAACCUUCACUACAGCUUUACACUGAACUUUGAACCUUUCUGUGUAGGAUAGGUGGGAGGCUAUGAAACUUGGGCGCUAGCUCGAGUGGAGCCAACCUUGAAAUACCACCCUGGGAUGUUUGAAGUUCUAACCUUGGUCCGUAAUCCGGAUUGGGGACAGUGUAUGGUGGGUAGUUUGACUGGGGCGGUCUCCUCCCAAAGAGUAACGGAGGAGUGCAAUGGUACGCUCAGCGCGGUCGGUCAUCGCGCUCUAGAGUGCAAAGGCAUAAGCGUGCUUAACUGUGAGACAGACACGUCGAACAGGUACGAAAGUAGGUCUUAGUGAUCCGGUGGUUCUGUAUGGAAGGGCCAUCGCUCAACGGAUAAAAGGUACUCCGGGGAUAACAGGCUUAUUCCUCCCAAGAGUCCACAUCGACGGAGGAGUUUGGCACCUCGAUGUCGGCUCAUCACAUCCUGGGGCUGUAGCAGGUCCCAAGGGUAUGGCUGUUCGCCAUUUAAAGUGGUACGCGAGCUGGGUUCAGAACGUCGUGAGACAGUUCGGUCCCUAUCUGCCGUGGGCGUUGGAAACUUGAGGGUGAGCUGUCCUUAGUACGAGAGGACCGGGAUGGACGUAUCUCUGGUGUUCCGGUUGUCACGCCAGUGGCACUGCCGGGUAGCUAUAUACGGACGGGAUAAGCGCUGAAAGCAUCUAAGCGCGAAGCCCCCCCCAAGAUUAGGUUUCCCUGGGAACUCGAUUCCCCUAACGGGCCGUCGGAGACUACGACGUUGAUAGGCUGGGUGUGUAAGUGCAGCAAUGCAUUGAGCUAACCAGUACUAAUUGCCCGUGAGGCUUGACCAA
rnacentral:rRNA from 1 species